rnacentral:rRNA from 1 species
GUGUCAGCCGCCGCGGUAAGACAGAGGUGCCGAGCGUUAGGCGGAAUCACUGGGCUUAAAGCGUGUGUAGGCGGGCCCGUAAGUACCUUGUGAAAUCCCACCGCUCAACGGUGGAACUGCUCGGUAUACUGCGGGUCUUGAGCCACCUAGGGGCAGCCGGAACAAGCGGUGGAGCGGUGAAAUGCGUAGAUAUCGCUUGGAACGCCAACGGUGAAAACAGACUGCUGGGGGUGUGCUGACGCUGAGACACGAAAGCCAGGGGAGCGAACGGGAUUAGAUACCCGCGUAGUCC